rnacentral:rRNA from 1 species
UACGGAGGGUGCAAGCGUUAUCCGGAUUCACUGGGUUUAAAGGUGCGUAGGUGGGCAGGUAAGUCAGUGGUGAAAUCUCCGAGCUUAACUCGGAAACUGCCGUUGAUACUAUUUGUCUUGAAUAUUGUGGAGGUAAGCGGAAUAUGUCAUGUAGCGGUGAAAUGCUUAGAUAUGACAUAGAACACCAAUUGCGAAGGCAGCUUACUACACAAUGAUUGACGCUGAGGCACGAAAGCGUGGGGAUCAAACAGG